CUACCCUAUUUUAUCGGACUCUCAUUCCCCUUUAACUGCUCCCCACAUCCCUUUUUUAAAGGAAGUCCCUCAACCCCCAGACAGAUUCUACGUACAUUUGAACACUAUCAGGCAGAGCAACAAAAAAUAGAGAAAAGAGGAAGAAGGAAAAAUAGAGAGAGAAACAAAAACCAAAAACAGAGAAGAAAAAUAAAGGAGCGAAAGAGUUGUGAUUCGAGUUUCAAAGUUCAGCUUGAAACAGAUUAAUUCAUUACAGGAGCCUCCUGAAUAAUGGGACUUUUCUUUUCUAGUUCACCUUUUUCUUUGAGUUCAAGAACAUGUUUGAAAAAUCAGAAACAACAAGUCAGGAGCCCACUUGAAAAAUAGGGUGAAGAAAUAGCAAGUCAGGAGCCCGCUUGAAGAACAGGGUGAAUAACUAGCAAGUCUGUAGCCUGCCUGGAGAAUAGGAUGAACAUUAUCAAUUGCAAGUUCAGAAGCCCACCUGAAUAAUAGGAUGAAGAUUUUCAAGUUCAAGUCAGAGGAGAGUCUGAAGAAUGAGUCAAUUGUUGAAUUCCUUUCCAAUGCCAAGAGCCAACAUGAAGAACAAUUCAUUUUUUCAAGAUUAAACUCAUAAUAAUGACUUUCUCACCAUUUGAGAAGUCAUGAAAAUUCAAGUCAAGAUUCUAGAAAAGUUGUGCAAUACAUAGGAUCUUUCACUUGUA